UACGAAGGGGGCUAGCGUUGCUCGGAAUCACUGGGCGUAAAGGGUGCGUAGGUGGCGCCGUAAGUCAGGUGUGAAAUUUCGGAGCUUAACUCCGAAACUGCAUUUGAUACUGCGGUGCUUGAGGACUGGAGAGGAGACUGGAAUUCACGGUGUAGCAGUGAAAUGCGUAGAUAUCGUGAGGAAGACCAGUGGCGAAGGCGGGUCUCUGGACAGUUCCUGACACUGAGGCACGAAGGCUAGGGGAGCAAACGGG
rnacentral:rRNA from 1 species